AUGAACGCUGGCGGCGUGCCUAAUACAUGCAAGUCGAGCGAACAGACGAGGAGCUUGCUCCUCUGACGUUAGCGGCGGACGGGUGAGUAACACGUGGAUAACCUACCUAUAAGACUGGGAUAACUUCGGGAAACCGGAGCUAAUACCGGAUAAUACAUUGAACCGCAUGGUUCAAUAGUGAAAGACGGUUUUGCUGUCACUUAUAGAUGGAUCCGCGCCGCAUUAGCUAGUUGGUAAGGUAACGGCUUACCAAGGCAACGAUGCGUAGCCGACCUGAGAGGGUGAUCGGCCACACUGGAACUGAGACACGGUCCAGACUCCUACGGGAGGCAGCAGUAGGGAAUCUUCCGCAAUGGGCGAAAGCCUGACGGAGCAACGCCGCGUGAGUGAUGAAGGUCUUCGGAUCGUAAAACUCUGUUAUUAGGGAAGAACAAAUGUGUAAGUAACUAUGCACGUCUUGACGGUACCUAAUCAGAAAGCCACGGCUAACUACGUG
rnacentral:rRNA from 1 species